CUUCAGUCUUCUUUGUAAUGGGGGGAGGGAGGUGCUUCCAGCAGAGGCACUCACUGGAGACACACACACACACACACACACACACACACACACACACACACACACACGGCUCCCAGCAGUUCCUUCUGCCCUCUGUGGAGGGGAAAUAUGUGUCUACUGUUGGUUUGAGGACAGCAGGGCACCUGACAGCCCCAGAGUACUCACUCAUGGCACAUUUGUGCUUGAGCAAAGAAUCCUGGCUCUUUUCUAGGCCUAGGCCCUCAUCCAUCACUGGUGCUCAAGAAUGUAUGGAUUCUAGUGGGUUGAGGGGAGAGGGUUGCCUCCCCUGACCACGUUGAUCCUCCGGGUCGGUGCGAGGCUCCAGCGCGCAGUCAACCCAUCCCCUCCGCAGCCAUCCGUGUGCCCCCGGCCGUCCUGCGCAUGCGCCCC
rnacentral:lncRNA from 1 species